UUGUGGCUGACCAAUCGUACCCACCCACAACACAGAGUGUCAGUUUUCCAGGUCUCACCAUCCUAGUCUUUAAGGGAGGACCCGAUUUAUUAGAAUGUUGUUUGUUUCAUCACAAAGUUUGGCUCAGUUCAUUCAGCACAAUCCCAAGCUCAUCUGGGUCGCCAUAUAACUUCUGCUAUCUGAUUUUUCUUUCUUCUUUUUAAAGAAACUUGAUCCAAUUACUUUCUCGAGGAUCUGAUGAAGAGUCUGCAGGUGUCACUGGUGUACAUUCUCAUUAAACAGAAAUGGGAAGCCAGACUCUUCUUUUGUUCUUAAAGAAAUUGGAAAGGCUUCAGGAUGCCUCUCUGCCUCCCCCCGCCCCCAAAAGCCAGACCAGGCAGUUUUCAACGAUAUGAGCUCAACUGCCAUUUGAGUUUAUCUUCUAGCCUCAGAGGACAGAGCUGUGAUCUAGUAACUAUGCUCAGGUAUCAUCACCUUCAGCAUUAGAUAGGAUAGUAUGAAGGCUGCUGUUGUAGCUGUUGUAGAAAACCCUUUCCCUGGUCACUUGAAUGUGUCACAACAUCAGACUUCUGUUCCUUAGAUAGUCCGGAGGGCUGCCAAGAACAACUGACUGGCCGCUUACUACUGCCCAGUUUCCUUGAUAUGGCAGAGCCUAAUCAGCAGAGGCACUAGGCUAAAUACUGCUACAUCCAUCUAUUAUUCCCUGCUAUGUAAGCUCUAAGACUCCAAGACCCAUUCUCCCUUUCUGCUCCGUAUGCUGGGAACAUCUUCCAAAUAUCCAGGUGUCCCUCAACCUUUCUCUCUGCCUGCAACCCACAUCCCUUUCAUGUCAAUUUUUUACUAUUAAAAUGAAACCCAAAGAUAUGAAGCAUCACAGUCUGCAGAUCCAUUCCCUGUUAUCCUUCUGCUCAUUGUAAAGCAGUCUUCAACAACCCAGCACUCUCCAGAUUCUUUUUGGGAUACAGCUCCUACUAGCCCAAGAGUCUAGAAUGUCUGAAGGGCAUCAGGUUGGCAAAUCAUUAGAUAGGUAGGUAAAGAACAAUCUACAUAUUAUAUUGAGCUGUAUAUAACCUGCCCUGGGGCUGAACAGUAAAGGGCAGGCUAGCAGCCAGUAAGAGCAGUACAAGGAAAUAAGAUUCUGAACUAAUCACACACACAUACACACACCAAUCCUGGCCACCUGGGAGCCAGGCAGGGGCUGUGAAUAGGGAAGGCGAUCUUCGCUUUUGCUCUUCCCAGCCUCUGCCUGGCAGCCUAGAAACCAGGUGGGGGCCAGGCCAAACAAGUACGCUUGCCACCCCUGCCCAGCACUUACUAGGUGUCAUGUGGCACAUCACAUGACGAGUCACAUGACCAUGCCCCCUCAAUGUGGGGGAGGCAACUUGGUGCCCCUGCUAGCGGGAAUAACAUGUCAGACCCCUUUUGUCAAAUCUUUGAAUUCUAAAUUCCAUUUUUUCUUCUUCCUGAAACUUGGGUGAACUGGGGGGGGGGGCAGAGAAAAUCUAGAAGCCAUUUGGAAGGGAAAGAAGCAUGGCAAUCUAAUCUAAACUAAUCUAAUAUAUAUAUAUUUAAGAACCAUGUAAAAAAGAGCAAUGUAGUUAAUUCCAAAACUUCCAAUUUCAUGCCCACUUAUACUAUGACGUUGAAUUGUUUCUUAAUCUGGUCUGUUUUGAUAUUUGUAUUUUGGCAAGAAGGUGAUAAGGAAAAAGACUGAGCAUGUUUAAGACUGAGCAUCGUCUGGAACUCUUCCUUGCCUGAUGGAGGAUAGAAAAGGGUGGCUGGCUAGCUGUGUAGAAACUGCCCUGCUGUACAAAGGAUUAACAACCAGAGAGGAGAGGAGGAAAUGCUUUAUCUCAAAUGCAAUGGCCAAUAAAGCAUCGUCCAGCUCAGCAAAACUGGAAAGGUGAAGUGAAGGCUAUUGGUUCAGCUGUCGUAAGUUUUAAGAAAGCAGACAUCUUUGCAGCGAGAGCUGUUCAUGUGUUUUCCCCACCCCAUAAAACUUCUUUCCUGGAUUAUCAGAGACUUAAUUAGUCUCUGGACUCAGCUGUACAGCUGCAUAUAAAACGUUUUAAGUGUGUUUUAAGUGCAA